GGGUUGUGAGGUUAAGCGACUAAGCGUACACGGUGGAUGCCCUGGCAGUCAGAGGCGAUGAAGGGCGUGCUAAUCUGCGAUAAGCGCCGGUAAGGUGAUAUGAACCGUUAUAACCGGCGAUACCCGAAUGGGGAAACCCAGUGUGACUCGUCACACUAUCAUUAACUGAAUCCAUAGGUUAAUGAGGCGAACCGGGGGAACUGAAACAUCUAAGUACCCCGAGGAAAAGAAAUCAACCGAGAUUCCCCCAGUAGCGGCGAGCGAACGGGGAGGAGCCCAGAGCCUGAAUCAGCAUGUGUGUUAGUGGAAGCGUCUGGAAAGGCGCGCGAUACAGGGUGACAGCCCCGUACACAAAAGCGCAUGUGCUGUGAGCUCGAUGAGUAGGGCGGGACACGUGGUAUCCUGUCUGAAUAUGGGGGGACCAUCCUCCAAGGCUAAAUACUCCUGACUGACCGAUAGUGAACCAGUACCGUGAGGGAAAGGCGAAAAGAACCCCGGCGAGGGGAGUGAAAAAGAACCUGAAACCGUGUACGUACAAGCAGUGGGAGCACCCUUUGGGUGUGACUGCGUACCUUUUGUAUAAUGGGUCAGCGACUUAUAUUCUGUAGCAAGGUUAACCGAAUAGGGGAGCCGGAGGGAAACCGAGUCUUAAUCGGGCGUUAAGUUGCAGGGUAUAGACCCGAAACCCGGUGAUCUAGCCAUGGGCAGGUUGAAGGUUGGGUAACACUAACUGGAGGACCGAACCGACUAAUGUUGAAAAAUUAGCGGAUGACCUGUGGCUGGGGGUGAAAGGCCAAUCAAACCGGGAGAUAGCUGGUUCUCCCCGAAAGCUAUUUAGGUAGCGCCUCGUGAAUUCAUCUCCGGGGGUAGAGCACUGUUUCGGCUAGGGGGCCAUCCCGGCUUACCAACCCGAUGCAAACUGCGAAUACCGGAGAAUGUUAUCACGGGAGACACACGGCGGGUGCUAACGUCCGUCGUGAAGAGGGAAACAACCCAGACCGCCAGCUAAGGUCCCAAAGUCAUGGUUAAGUGGGAAACGAUGUGGGAAGGCCCAGACAGCCAGGAUGUUGGCUUAGAAGCAGCCAUCAUUUAAAGAAAGCGUAAUAGCUCACUGGUCGAGUCGGCCUGCGCGGAAGAUGUAACGGGGCUAAACCAUGCACCGAAGCUGCGGCAGCGACACUGUGUGUUGUUGGGUAGGGGAGCGUUCUGUAAGCCUGUGAAGGUGUGUCGUGAGGCAUGCUGGAGGUAUCAGAAGUGCGAAUGCUGACAUAAGUAACGAUAAAGCGGGUGAAAAGCCCGCUCGCCGGAAGACCAAGGGUUCCUGUCCAACGUUAAUCGGGGCAGGGUGAGUCGACCCCUAAGGCGAGGCCGAAAGGCGUAGUCGAUGGGAAACGGGUUAAUAUUCCCGUACUUGGUGUUACUGCGAAGGGGGGACGGAGAAGGCUAUGUUGGCCGGGCGACGGUUGUCCCGGUUUAAGUGUGUAGGUGUGUGUUCCAGGUAAAUCCGGUUCACUUUAACACUGAGGCGUGACGACGAGGCACUACGGUGCUGAAGCAACAAAUGCCCUGCUUCCAGGAAAAGCCUCUAAGCAUCAGGUAACAUCAAAUCGUACCCCAAACCGACACAGGUGGUCAGGUAGAGAAUACCAAGGCGCUUGAGAGAACUCGGGUGAAGGAACUAGGCAAAAUGGUGCCGUAACUUCGGGAGAAGGCACGCUGACACGUAGGUGAAGUGAUUUACUCAUGGAGCUGAAGUCAGUCGAAGAUACCAGCUGGCUGCAACUGUUUAUUAAAAACACAGCACUGUGCAAACACGAAAGUGGACGUAUACGGUGUGACGCCUGCCCGGUGCCGGAAGGUUAAUUGAUGGGGUCAGCGCAAGCGAAGCUCCUGAUCGAAGCCCCGGUAAACGGCGGCCGUAACUAUAACGGUCCUAAGGUAGCGAAAUUCCUUGUCGGGUAAGUUCCGACCUGCACGAAUGGCGUAAUGAUGGCCAGGCUGUCUCCACCCGAGACUCAGUGAAAUUGAACUCGCUGUGAAGAUGCAGUGUACCCGCGGCAAGACGGAAAGACCCCGUGAACCUUUACUAUAGCUUGACACUGAACAUUGAGCCUUGAUGUGUAGGAUAGGUGGGAGGCUUUGAAGUGUGGACGCCAGUCUGCAUGGAGCCGACCUUGAAAUACCACCCUUUAAUGUUUGAUGUUCUAACGUGGACCCGUUACCCGGGUUGCGGACAGUGUCUGGUGGGUAGUUUGACUGGGGCGGUCUCCUCCUAAAGAGUAACGGAGGAGCACGAAGGUUGGCUAAUCCUGGUCGGACAUCAGGAGGUUAGUGCAAUGGCAUAAGCCAGCUUGACUGCGAGCGUGACGGCGCGAGCAGGUGCGAAAGCAGGUCAUAGUGAUCCGGUGGUUCUGAAUGGAAGGGCCAUCGCUCAACGGAUAAAAGGUACUCCGGGGAUAACAGGCUGAUACCGCCCAAGAGUUCAUAUCGACGGCGGUGUUUGGCACCUCGAUGUCGGCUCAUCACAUCCUGGGGCUGAAGUAGGUCCCAAGGGUAUGGCUGUUCGCCAUUUAAAGUGGUACGCGAGCUGGGUUUAGAACGUCGUGAGACAGUUCGGUCCCUAUCUGCCGUGGGCGCUGGAGAACUGAGGGGGGCUGCUCCUAGUACGAGAGGACCGGAGUGGACGCAUCACUGGUGUUCGGGUUGUCAUGCCAAUGGCACUGCCCGGUAGCUAAAUGCGGAAGAGAUAAGUGCUGAAAGCAUCUAAGCACGAAACUUGCCCCGAGAUGAGUUCUCCCUGAGACUUUAGGUCUCCUGAAGGAACGUUGAAGACGACGACGUUGAUAGGCCGGGUGUGUAAGCGCAGCGAUGCGUUGAGCUAACCGGUACUAAUGAACCGUGAGGCUUAACCUUACAACGCCGAAG
rnacentral:rRNA from 1 species